UGAUAGAAAUUUAAACACUUUUUAAAGUAUCAAUUGGAGGGCAAGUCUGGUGCCAGCAGCCGCGGUAAUUCCAGCUCCAAUAGCGUAUAUUAAAAUUGUUGCAGUUAAAAAGCUCGUAGUUGAAUUUCUGUUAAAAAUAACCGGUCUGCUUUUUUUAUUAAAAGUUGUAUCAUUUUGGUGUGUUUUUAACAAUAAUAAUGUCCUUUGAAAAUGUUUUUUACUUUAUUGUAAUAAGUCAUUGUUUUGAGGAUUUUUACUUUGAGAAAAUUAGAGUGUUUUUAGCAGGCUUUUACGCUUUUGAAUACUGCAGCAUGGAAUAAUAAGAUAGGAUUUUAGUUCUACAUUAUUGGUUUUAAGAACUAAAUUAAUGAUUGAUAGGGAUAGUUGGGGGCAUUUGUAUUUAACUGUCAGAGGUGAAAUUCUUAGAUUUGUUAAAGACAAACUAUUGCGAAAGCAUUUGCCAAAGAUGUUUUCAUUAAUCAAGAACGAAAGUUAGGGGAUCGAAG
rnacentral:rRNA from 1 species